rnacentral:rRNA from 1 species
CCUACGAGAGGCAGCAGUGGGGAAUAUUGGACAAUGGGCGAAAGCCUGAUCCAGCCAUGCCGCGUGUGUGAAGAAGGCCUUCGGGUUGUAAAGCACUUUCAGUGGGGAAGAAAGCCUUGGGGCUAAUACCCUCGAGGAAGGACAUCACCCACAGAAGAAGCACCGGCUAACUCCGUGCCAGCAGCCGCGGUAAUACGGAGGGUGCGAGCGUUAAUCGGAAUUACUGGGCGUAAAGCGCGCGUAGGCGGUCUGAUAAGCCGGUUGUGAAAGCCCCGGGCUCAACCUGGGAACGGCAUCCGGAACUGUCAGGCUAGAGUGCAGGAGAGGAAGGUAGAAUUCCCGGUGUAGCGGUGAAAUGCGUAGAGAUCGGGAGGAAUACCAGUGGCGAAGGCGGCCUUCUGGACUGACACUGACGCUGAGGUGCGAAAGCGUGGGUAGCAAACAGGAUUAGAUACCCCAGUAGUC